GCUGGGCGUGGUGGCGGGCGCCUGUAAUCCCAGCUAUUUGGGAGGCUGAGGCAGGAGAAUCACUUGAACCCGGGAGGCUGAGGCUGCAGUAAGCAGAGAUCGCACCACUGCACUCCAGCCUGGGCAACAGAGCGAAACUCUGUCUCAU
rnacentral:SRP_RNA from 1 species